AGACCACGGACAGUCCAGACGGGUACGAUGCCGUCGUUCUUGGUGCCGGCGAGCGCAAGACCAAGAAUGUUAACAGAGCGCUUAUGGCGACCUUUGAGCAGUUUGGCGUCGGUCAGCGUCCGCCUUACAUUGUACGAGAGUUUAGAGUAACCACGAAAGAUGCCAUGCCGGAGCCGGGAACGCAGAUUCACGCUGGACACUUCGUUGCCGGUCAGAAUGUAGAUAUUAGCGGCAUUAGCAAGGGCAAGGGUUU
rnacentral:ribozyme from 1 species